UAAAAGGAAUAUUUCUUGUUUUCACCAAUACAAGCUGUUUCAGAGGAACAGGUGAGGAUGGGAAGAUUGGAGGAACUCAGUAAGGAUGCUGUUCUCAGGACUGUAGGAUUCAGCUCUUUUUAAUCCCUUCCACCCUUGGUGGGGUGGCUGUGGACGUGUGCCACUCACUCCCAAGAGAACUUGCCACUCGUUGGGAGUGUUGCUGGUGGAUAACUCCACAUUCCCUCCAAUUACAUCCAUUACAUGCGUGCCAAGACCUCUCUUCCUCCAUAUGGCUGGCAGGUCCUCAGGCCAGGCCAUUCCUGCCUUCAACAUGAGAUUCCUUUAAUGGGCAACUAUUCCUGGGGAAGCCCCAUCACUCUGUCUGUCACUUUCUUAGAACUGCACUCUGAAGCUUUUUCAACCCAAUCCUUCCUCCCCUCUCUUCUUGUACAGGACCUGAAUGGACACAAAGGACCUGGACUUUAUUUCCCAGAAUCCCUUGCCUUGGGAGUUAUGGAUGCUAUUGAAGUUUUGCCCCUGCGAUGUUCUUGCAGAAGAUUUAGAAAGAAGGAAGAAGGGAGACAUUCAUCUCUGUGUAGCUGACAAUUGAGCUCCAGCAGAUUUGGGAUUUUGCAAUAACCCAAGUUCACAUUCCACUGUCGAAUCACCAGGCUCAUGGACUCAGGAUGCUGACAUUGGCAGCAGCAGAGAACCUCAGAUCACAAUUGCCAUGGCAGGAUUUCAGAGCUGUGCAGCAGCAUCUCUUUAGUGCCUGCCCUUCCAAUUUUUCCAAUAAUUU